rnacentral:rRNA from 1 species
UACGGAGGGUGCGAGCGUUAUCCGGAUUCACUGGGCUUAAAGGGUGCGUAGGUGGGAAUGUAAGUCAGUGGUGAAAUCUCCGUGCUUAACACGGAAACUGCCAUUGAUACUAUGUUUCUUGAAUUUUCUGGAGGUUAGCGGAAUAUGUCAUGUAGCGGUGAAAUGCUUAGAUAUGACAUAGAACACCGAUUGCGAAGGCAGCUAACUACAGGGAUAUUGACACUGAGGCACGAAAGCGUGGGGAUCAAACAGG